UUAUUAUUCAAAAUUUGUUUCUUAUAUGAAAAAUUAUAAUAGUUAUGGAUUAACAUUAAAUCAUGUAAGACAUUGUGUACAUUCUAUUUAAACAUAUAAUUGCUUGUGUAGAUAUAUGCACAAGUACUUUUAUUCUUCUAUAAAUAGAUUCUACUCUGGAAUUCAACUUGCUCUGAAGCAAAUUGUUAGGUACGUUUAGUAGUUAGAAUAUAUUUCACUGUAAAGGCGGACAGUUAUUCCUUUACGAAGUAGUUUUUAUUCAAUGUGUUACAAAACAUUGAACUUUAUAAAUUAUUUUUGGAUUUAUUUAGUUUAACAAUGGAAUCUCAAACUUGUGUGAUUUGUGGAGGACAUUCAAUUCAUAAGUGCAGUGCCUGUGAAAAUGUUUAUUACUGCAGCAAGAAACAUCAAAAAGAAGAUUGGAAGAAACAUUCAAAAAUUUGUAAAUCCUUUAAGUUAGCAGAAAAUCCUUCAUUGGGUCGUCAUUACGUAGCUACAAGAAAUAUCAAAGUUGGAGAAAUUAUUCUACGGGAUGAUCAACCCCUGAUAACAGGUCUUAUGUACAACAGUGUCCCAGUGUGCCUUCAAUGUUAUACGGUUUUAAAUCAAGAGAUUGCAACACCUUGCGAAAAAUGUGGCUGGCCUCUUUGUCAAAAUUGUAAUGAACAUGGAUUGGAAUGUAAAUUUUCUUCUUCUCGCAGAGAUUCUAAGAUUUCAAUAACCGAAUUUGGCUAUCCCCAUCCGAGUUAUCAAUGCAUAAAUAUUAUAAGAGUUUUGUCAUUGAAGGAUACUAAUCCAGAAUCUUAUAAAAAGUUAAUAUCCCUUGAAAGUCACUGCAAUGAAAUAAAUAAUUCUAAGGAGUCAUUAAAUAUUGCUCAUUUUAUCAAGAGAUUUUUUAAAGCAGAUGACAUAUCGGAAGAAGAAAUUGUAACAAUCAUUGGCAUCUUCCAGGUUAAUGGUCACGAAGUUCCAUUAACCGAUUCACCAUAUGUAGCGGUUUAUGAAAUGGCAUCAUUACUUGAGCAUAAUUGUAGAGCCAAUUGCUCAAAAAGUUUCACUGAUAUGGGAGGAUUGAUUAUUCGUGCUGCACUACCUAUUACGAAAGGAGAUCAUAUCUCUAUAUGUUAUACUGAUCCAUUAUGGGGUACUGCAAAUAGAAGACAUCAUCUUUUUAAAACAAAAUUUUUUGAAUGUAUUUGUAAUCGAUGUCAAGAUCCUACAGAAUUUCAAACUAUGUUUAAUGCUUUAAAAUGCAAUAAUAUAAAUUGUUCAGGAUACGUAUUGCCAAAAACUUUCCUUGAACAGGAACAAGAUUAUAUAUGCAAAAUUUGUGAAUCAGUCGUUUCUUGUACAGAAAUUGAAAAAAUAUUGGAAGACAUUGGUAUACGUCUAUCAAAUAUGAAGAAAAACGAUAUUGUUAUAUGUAAAGAAUUUCUAGACCGAUAUAAAAAUAAUCUUCACCCAAAUCAUUAUUAUAACAUCGACGUAACGAUCGCCUUGGCUCAAUUGAUUGGACAACAAACUGGAGGAUUGGCGGUAAUCGAGGAAGAUCUUCUGAUUGAGAAAAUAAAAUUAUGCAAAAAAUUGGAUUCUUUGCUUAAAUUACUCGUUCCAGGUCACUACUACAUUGUGACGAAGUAACAAGAAAACUAUUUGUGUACUCUCUCGAAUGUGAUUCCAUUUUUACAAGGAAAAUGAUAUCGGUGACUGAUACACGCCGAUUUUGAUGAAAUUUUGUAUAAUUGUUUGGACCAGCCUAUAGAUUUUUCCUUUAUUUGGUGAAGAAUUCUCGAAAACCCUAUUCGUUCCUAUUCCGAUCUCUACGACGACUGAACGAAGUUGGACGUGCUCGUAAUCAAUCGUCUUACCGAUCUUACAACAUGCUUGGCUAUCGGUAAAUAGAGCUGAAAAUCGAAUUCGAGGUUUAAUUCUUUUUGAGUUACAUGCAGCUCUUGCAGAAUUAAGUAGAAGAUAUAAAAACGAGGAAACUAUGAUAUCAUUACUGCAGGAAUCAAAAAAAUAUUUAAUUGAUGGCUAUC